AGUGAACGCUGGCGGUAGGCCUAACACAUGCAAGUCGAACGGCAGCACAGUAAGAGCUUGCUCUUACGGGUGGCGAGUGGCGGACGGGUGAGGAAUACAUCGGACUCUACUUUUUCGUGGGGGAUAACGUAGGGAAACUUACGCUAAUACCGCAUACGACCUACGGGUGAAAGCAUGGGAUCUUCGGACCUUGCGCGAUUGAAUGAGCCGAUGUCGGAUUAGCUAGUUGGCGGGGUAAAGGCACAACAAGGCGACGAUCCGUAGCUGGUCUGAGAGGAUGAUCAGCCACACGGGAACUGAGACACGGUCCAGACUCCUACGGGAGGCAGCAGUGGGGAAUAUUGGACAAUGGGCGAAAGCCUGAUCCAGCCAUACCGCGUGGGUGAAGAAGGCCUUCGGGUUGUAAAGCCCUUUUGUUGGGAAAGAAAAGCAGCAGGUUAAUACCCCGCUGUUCUGACGGUACCCAAAGAAUAAGCACCGGCUAACUUCGUG
rnacentral:rRNA from 1 species